GUUGAAGAACGUAGCGAAAUGCGAUAAGUAAUGUGAAUUGCAGAAUUCAGUGAAUCAUCGAAUCUUUGAACGCACAUUGCGCCCGCCAGUAUUCUGGCGGGCAUGCCUGUUCGAGCGUCAUUUCAACCAUCAAGCCCCAGGCUUGUGUUGGGGACCUGCGGCUGCCGCAGGCCCUGAAAACCAGUGGCGGGCUCGCUGUCACACCGGGCGUAGUAGAUUUUAUCUCGCUCAGGGCGUGCUGCGGGUUCCGGCCGUUAAAAAGCCUUUUUUACCCAAGGUUGACCUCGGAUCAGGUAGGAAGACCCGCUGAACUUAAGCAUAUCAAUAAGCGGAGGA
rnacentral:misc_RNA from 1 species